AAUGAAAUCACUGAGUUCAAUGACAGAAUUGAAAGCCUUUCCUUCGUCAGUUUGUUAUUCUUCUUGUUUUUUUUCUUGUUUUUUUUAUUUCACGUAUAUAGAUCCAUCAUCAUAAACUCUUAUACGGGAAUGAUGAUGGGAGA
rnacentral:ribozyme from 13 species